AUGGAACCAAGCCGACAGGAGCAGAGAAAAACAAGAAAGACCCUUCUCUCUGCUUCCUCCCUCCAAUCCCCCAUAGCGUCUGCAGUUGGUAGAAACCAAGAGAAAAUUAGCAAACUUUGCAUUCUGGGAAAUGUACUUCACAGGGGCACAAAGGUGGUGGUUUUCUCUGCUCCAGAAAUCAAGCAUCCAAUACGACAACAAGCGAAUGUUGUAGUCAUCUACCAGAUUAAAGUUCUGCAGGCUGUAAGCAUAGAGGCUCCCGAUCUUCUGGGGAGGACUCAGAAAACCUGCAAUCAUGGUGGAAGGCAAAGGGGGAGCCAAUAUGUCACAUGGCUGGAGCAGAUGGAACAGAGAGAUCGGGUAGGUGCCGCACACUUUUCAACAAGAGCUCAUAAGAACUCACCAUUGCUAUGA
rnacentral:lncRNA from 1 species